AACGAACGCUGGCGGCAGGCCUAACACAUGCAAGUCGAACGCUGUAGCAAUACAGAGUGGCAGACGGGUGAGUAACGCGUGGGAACAUUCCUAGUGGUACGGAAUAGCUCAGGGAAACUUGGGGUAAUACCGUAUAAGCCCUUACGGGGAAAGAUUUAUCGCCAUUAGAUUGGCCCGCGUUGGAUUAGCUAGUUGGUGAGGUAACGGCUCACCAAGGCGACGAUCCAUAGCUGGUUUGAGAGAAUGACCAGCCACACUGGGACUGAGACACGGCCCAGACUCCUACGGGAGGCAGCAGUGGGGAAUCUUGGACAAUGGGCGCAAGCCUGAUCCAGCCAUGCCGCGUGAGUGACGAAGGCCUUCGGGUUGCAAAGCUCUUUUGACGGGGACGAUAAUGACGGUACCCGUAGAAUAAGUCCCGGCUAACUUCGUGCCAGCCGCCGCCGUAA
rnacentral:rRNA from 1 species